UUUGUUUUUUAUUUCAAGGAACUACUAAUAACAUUUCACUUUGGUACAAUAGUAUAAUAUAUGUCAUGUAUUAGCACGAGUAUACGGUUCCUUUAUCAACAAUUCACUAUAGUACUCUAAAUCCCCAACCCUUCAAUUAUAUGCAAUUUUUUAGGGACUACCCUCCAAACAUUUUCCACUUCUUUAAUCAUCAAAAAAAAAAUGUACAACACGUUUUUGUGCAUCUAGCCUCAACGAAUAACUACUUGCAACAGAACAAAAUAUGUAACUCCUAAAGCAAGACACUAACCCAUAUGACAGUAACUGAGUAACACGGGUAACCUUUAUAAUACUGAAUAGGUAACCUUUAUAACUUUGAAAAAGUAAACCCCAUAAUAGCAUUGUGUGGUCACCGACAUAAAAGAGUAAGAUCGAUAUCACGUCCCCUUUUCCUUUUCCUUCUUUUUUUAGCCCACCACGAAGACCACCACGAACAUUACCACAAACACCACCACGGUGACCACCACGAGCACAUGCAACACCACGAACCGGUGAAGAAUCAAGGUGUUGCUUUUGGAAUUUUGAUUUCAAUGUUGUAGUUUUUUUAUUCUUUGAUGUGUAAUUUUUUUUUCUUUAAUGUUAUAAUUUUUUUUUCUGGAUUUUGAUGUUGUAAUUUAUUUUAUUUUUUUGUAUUGUAAAAUAACAAUUUAAUCAUCAAUAUAUUUCGUAUUAUUCAAGCUUGUUAUAUGUU